UACGAAGGGGGCUAGCGUUGUUCGGAAUCACUGGGCGUAAAGGGCGCGUAGGCGGCUUUGUAAGUCGGGGGUGAAAGCCUGUGGCUCAACCACAGAAUUGCCUUCGAUACUGCAUGGCUUGAGACCGGAAGAGGUAAGUGGAACUGCGAGUGUAGAGGUGAAAAUUCGUAGAUAUUCGCAAGAACACCAGUGGCGAAGGCGGCUCACUGGCCCGAUACUGACGCUGAGGCACGAAAGCGUGGGGAGCAAACAGG
rnacentral:rRNA from 1 species